AUCGCUUCUCGGCCUUUUGGCUAAGAUCAAGUGUAGUAUCUGUUCUUAUCAGUUUAAAAUGAGAAUCUUUUCCUGCCAAGGGCCAUUUAGAUAUUUAUAACAACAUUCGAGGAACCUAC
rnacentral:snRNA from 1 species